UACGUAGGUCCCGAGCGUUGUCCGGAUUUAUUGGGCGUAAAGCGAGCGCAGGUGGUUUAUUAAGUCUGGUGUAAAAGGCAGUGGCACAACCAUUGUAUGCAUUGGAAACUGGUGGACUUGAGUGCAGGAGAGGAGAGUCGAAUUCCAUGUGUAGCGGUGAAAUGCGUAGAUAUAUGGAGGAACACCGGUGGCGAAAGCGGCUCUCUGGCCUGUAACUGACACUGAGGCUCGAAAGCGUGGGGAGCAAACAGG
rnacentral:rRNA from 1 species